UACGGGGGGGGCAAGCGUUGUUCGGAAUUACUGGGCGUAAAGGGCUCGUAGGCGGCCAACUAAGUCAGACGUGAAAUCCCUCGGCUUAACCGGGGAACUGCGUCUGAUACUGGAUGGCUUGAGAUUGGGAGAGGGAUGCGGAAUUCCAGGUGUAGCGGUGAAAUGCGUAGAUAUCUGGAGGAACACCGGUGGCGAAGGCGGCAUCCUGGACCAACACUGACACUGAGGAGCGAAAGCCAGGGGAGCGAACGGG
rnacentral:rRNA from 1 species